GCGGAAAGUGGGUCAGGGCCGGGCCGGCGGAGCGCGCAGCGGGGGCUACAGAUUCUUUCCACCAUGGCCAGACGCCCCCGGAACAGCAGGGCCUGGCACUUCGUCCUGAGUGCAGCCCGCCGAGACGCAGAUGCCCGGGCCGUGGCUCUAGCAGGCUCCACCAACUGGGGCUACGACUCUGAUGGGCAGCACAGUGACUCGGACUCCGACCCCGAGUACUCCACGCUGCCGCCAUCCAUCCCCAGUGCGGUGCCCGUGACCGGCGAGUCCUUCUGUGACUGUGCUGGGCAGGGUGAGGCCUCCUCCUGUAGCAGCCUGCACGCGGCCCACCGGGGCAAGGACUGCCGCUGCGGAGAGGAAGACGAGUGUGAGCGUGGGGCCCAGCCCCUGCUGGGACUGCACUGCGGGUGGGCCUGGGAGCGGGCAGGGCAGAGCCCCAUGGAGCUCUCGGGGCUGCCCCAGCCUGGGCCUCUCUUGCAGAUUUCGACUGGGUCUGGGAUGACUUGAAUAAGUCAUCAGCUACCCUGCUGAGCUGUGACAACCGUAAGGUCAGCUUCCACAUGGAGUACAGCUGCGGCACAGCGGCCAUCCGGGGCACCAAGGAGCUGGGGGAGGGCCAGCACUUCUGGGAGAUCAAGAUGACCUCACCCGUCUAUGGCACCGACAUGGUAAGUUGCUUCGGCCCAGGGUGCUUCUGGGGAACCUGGCUCCAGCAGCCCAGCCCUGCGCCCUCUGCCUGGCCCCCGUUCCUAGAUGGUGGGCAUCGGGACGUCGGAUGUGGACCUGGACAAAUACCGCCACACGUUCUGCAGCCUGCUGGGCAGGGAUGAGGACAGCUGGGGCCUCUCCUACACGGGUGCGUGAGGCCCAGGGUGGGGCGGGGCUGAGCCUGGAGCUCCUGGGCUCACUGCAACCCCGGCUGCCCCCAGGCCUCCUCCACCACAAGGGCGACAAGACCAGCUUCUCGUCGCGGUUUGGCCAGGGCUCCAUCAUUGGCGUACACCUGGACACCUGGCAUGGCACGCUCACCUUUUUCAAGAAUAGGAAGUGCAUAGGUGUGGCAGCCACCAAGCUGCAGAACAAGAGGUUCUACCCGAUGGUGUGCUCCACGGCGGCCCGGAGCAGCAUGAAGGUCACCCGCUCCUGCGCCAGCGCCACCUCCCUCCAGUACCUCUGCUGCCACCGCCUGCGCCAGCUGCGGCCAGACUCGGGGGACACGCUGGAGGGUCUGCCGCUGCCGCCAGGCCUCAAGCAGGUGCUACACAACAAGCUGGGCUGGGUCCUGAGCAUGAGUUGCAGCCGCCGCAAGGCUCCAGUGUCCGAUCCCCAGGCAGCGACCUCGGCCCACCCCAGCAGUCGUGAGCCUCGGCCCUGCCAGAGGAAGCGCUGCCGUCGGACCUGACUGACUUCCCAGUGGAACUGCCUUCUCAGGCUGGGACAGCCGUUUUCUCUAUCCCUUCCUUCCAGCCACACUCCAGGGCGGAGUUGGAUGAGGCCCGUCCGGAGGGAGCCAUCUCUUGCUCCCAAGGCUGGGACAGUCCUUUCUGUGGGGGCUCUAGGGCCCCUCUGCUGCUGUGCUGGGUGGGGAAGCGGCUGCCCUGAGCCCCAGGUCUUGUGGGAGGCCGCGAGGAGAGCCUGGCUGGAGCCCGCGUUGCUGUUCCCACAGGGCCUCGGGUUUUUCGUAACUUGCUCUGCAUGCUGUCAGCGGCUGCCCCGCCGUCAUAGACUUAAAGGACUGCAAUAAAUGUAGAAUUGAUGUCUGA
rnacentral:sRNA from 1 species